UACAAAAAGCAAAGUGAACAAAAAUAAACCCUAAAGUAACAAAUCUCCUCCUCGUAAAAUAUCUAACUUGCUCCACCAUCUCAACCCCAAAUCACCUUGACUUGCUCCUCACUGAAGAGGGUCACACACUAUCAAUGGUGAACACGCUCCUUUUUGUCUCAUUAUCUGGCAAAUCGAGCGCUGACUUCCUUCAUUGUUUCUUCCUCUCUAUAUUUUGUGCUUUCUACCCUAUUGAGGUGAAAAAUCUAUUCCUAUUUCUGUAUUGUGAUGCUUUACGGACUAUGCUCAUGUACAGGAUAAGCGAUUCCAUCUGAUGGUGAUUGGUGCAUUUUUGCGGCAUGAAAUUUAGGUAGGUUUCAUCAUCGAAGUGUUGUUCCGUCAGGAUGUAGAAGUUGGAAAACUAGUUUGAAAGCUGUAUUGGUAUGUGAUUAAGUCGAAAGUAUUUUACACUUGGCAAGAAUGGUUGCAGGUCAGUGUUUGUAUCAGCUGAGUUUCUCAUAAUUUUUGGGAUUGAUGUUGGCGAACUCCAUGUGGGGCUACAUAUAGGGAAAACCAAGAAAAAGUGAUAACGGAACUGUCCAAAGUGUGCGCAAACAAUAAUGGCAUGCCAUCUUAUGGAACAUCGCAAAGGAGCUGCACAGGGGGAUACGCCAAUAUUAUUCCCUAGAGGUUUUGUUCAGGAUUUUUCUCGCACCUUUGACUUCAUUCUAGGAUACGAGAGAAAGUCGUGGUCUUUAGGAGGAAAUGAUUCUAGCCUAGGAGGAGUUCCAAGAUAUUUUAUUUUUAUGUUGUAACUUUUUUUUGUGUUUCAUGUGUAUACACAAUUACUAUAUAUUAUGAAUUUGUUAAUAGAAGUUCAUGUAUCAUUUUGUUUGAAAA